GAACUUUGACCUUUGCAAGGGCACAUUCAGUGUCUACUUUUUGAGAGGAGGGAUUGAGCAAACUGUUCACUCACUAUGCACUUCCCAUCAAAACGGCAGGCUUCAGUUCUCUGUGCUCUCUGCGGCGAUACGGCCUGCUCACAGAAUCUAGGUCCCGAGUCACUUGGAUGUGACCAACUGCCAACAGAGAGAGGAAAGACAGAAGCGGCUACUUAAAAGCCAAACCCAGGGUUUGGAAGUUGUCUCUCAGAUGGCAAGAGGCUCUUGGAAUUAAAUCAGCUCCUUUGGAGAAUAAAGUCUUAUGCUCAAACACGACAGGUAUAAAUUACUGAGAAGGAACUUCAUAGCUCAGAGAAGCUAUUUCCCCACCAGCCCAACCCACUGCUCAGGGAACCACGGGAGGCCUGACCCCGGUACAAGUCCACAUGGAAAAGCUGGCAAAACAGCCUGCCAUCGGCACAGUACAGGAAGCGGUUUGCGCUGUGGCUACACCACCCAUGUGUUACACAAUGUGAUACAACUGGGGGGGGGGGCGUGGGGGACAACUGGCUUUCUUCUUCUUCCAAAUUAAAAUAGCCUUUCCUUAACGAAUUAU
rnacentral:lncRNA from 1 species